AGAGUUUGAUCAUGGCUCAGGAUGAACGCUAGCGGCAGGCCUAAUACAUGCAAGACGAACGGUAAGUGGUGUAGCAAUAUAUCACCAAGAGUGUCGUAAGGGUGCGUAACACGUAUGCAAUCUGCCCACAACAGGAGGAUAGCUCCCCGAAAGGGGAAUUAAUACUCCAUAAGAUCACACGAGGGCAUCUGAGAGUGAUUAAACUACAAGGGGUUGUGGAUGAGCAUGCGGAUGAUUAGCUAGUUGGUGCGGGUAACGGCCCACCAAGGCGAUGAUCAAUAGGGGAACUGAGAGGUUUAUCCCCCACACUGGCACUGAGAUACGGGCCAGACUCCUACGGGAGGCAGCAGUAGGGAAUAUUGGACAAUGGGUGCAAGCCUGAUCCAGCCAUGCCGCGUGCAGGAAGAAGGCCUUCUGGGUCGUAAACUGCUUUUCUCUGGGGAUAAAAAGACCCUGCGGGGUAAAUUGAAGGUACCAGAGGAAUAAGCCACGGCUAACUACGUGCCAGCAGCCGCGGUAAUACGUAGGUGGCAAGCGUUGUCCGGAUUUAUUGGGUUUAAAGGGUGCGUAGGCGGUUCCAUAAGUCAGUGGUGAAAUACGGCAGCUCAACUAUCGAGGUGCCAUUGAUACUGCGGAACUUGAGUACUGAUGAGGUAGGCGGAAUUGACGGUAGCGGUGAAAUGCUUAGAUAUCGUCAAGAACACCGAUAGCGAAGGCAGCUUACCAAGCAGUAACUGACGCUGAGGCACGAAAGUGCGGGGAUCAAACAGGAUUAGAUACCCNNGUAGUCC
rnacentral:rRNA from 1 species